GAUGAACGCUGGCGGCGUGCUUAACACAUGCAAGUCGAGCGAAGCACUUAAGUUCGAUUCUUCGGAUGAAGACUUUUGUGACUGAGCGGCGGACGGGUGAGUAACGCGUGGGUAACCUGCCUCAUACAGGGGGAUAACAGUUAGAAAUGGCUGCUAAUACCGCAUAAGACCACAGUACUGCAUGGUACAGUGGUAAAAACUCCGGUGGUAUGAGAUGGACCCGCGUCUGAUUAGGUAGUUGGUGAGGUAACGGCACACCAAGCCGACAAUCAGUAGCCGACCUAGGAGGGUGACCGGCAACAUUGGGACUGAGACACGGCCCAGACUCCUACGGGAGGCAGCAGUGGGGAAUAUUGCACAAUGGGCGAAAGCCUGAUGCAGCGACGCCGCGUGAAGGAUGAAGUAUUUCGGUAUGUAAACUUCUAUCAGCAGGGAAGAAAAUGACGGUACCUGACUAAGAAGCCCCGGCUAACUACGUGCCAGCCGCCGCGGUAA
rnacentral:rRNA from 1 species